ensembl:snRNA U6 U6 spliceosomal RNA
GUGCUCAAUUUGGCAGAACACACAUUAAAAUUAGAGUGACACAGAGGAGAUUAUCAUGGGCCCUAAAAGGAUGAUAUGCAAAUUUAUGAAGUGUUCUAUAUUUUC